rnacentral:tRNA from 1 species
UCCGGGGUAGCUCAACUGGCAGACGCGCUCGGCUGUUAACCGAGAGGUUGUGGGUUCGAGUCCCACCCCCGGAG